rnacentral:rRNA from 1 species
UACGGGGGGUGCAAGCGUUGUUCGGAAUUAUUGGGCGUAAAGAGCGUGUAGGCGGUUGGACAAGUCAGAUGUGAAAGCCCUGGGCUUAACUCAGGAAGUGCAUUUGAAACUGUUCAGCUGGAGUAAGGGAGAGGAAAGUGGAAUUCCUGGUGUAGAGGUGAAAUUCGUAGAUAUCAGGAGGAACACCGGUGGCGAAGGCGACUUUCUGGCCCUAUACUGACGCUGAGACGCGAGAGCGUGGGUAGCAAACAGGAUUAGAUACCCUGGUAGUCCACGCUGUAAACGAUGUUCACUAGGUGUUGGGAGUAUUGACCCUCUCAGUGCCGCAGCUAACGCAUUAAGUGAACCGCCUGGGGAGUACGGUCGCAAGAUUAAA